GAGGCAGAGACAAAGAGAAGGGGACAGGAGAGGUGUCAAGAAUAUUGCCAAGGUUUGCUGCUUAAGCAACUGGAAGGCGGACUAAGAGUUUUAUCUGAACUCCUGCCCCAAACAUCUUAAUUCCCUAAAAUCACUGGAACGGCACAACAGUCCUGAACUGUCCAGACAGCUGCAUGGAGCUGUCAUCCACCCUUCCCUGGAGAGUGUCUAAUCUCCUGCCUAAACUUGUGCCCUGAUCACGCCCCCCUGAAUCUGUGCACAGGGGACUUAGUCCGGCUCUCUGCUCAGAACAAUGUGCGGCCACAACCUGCUUGCCGUCCCUGCCAGGAGCAGCAAUGUGUUCUCCACUCUCCUCUGACGAGGCUUUUGGCAGCCUGAGCUGUCUUUCUGGCUCUCACUGUGGAGCCCACACCCAGGGCUCUAAGAGGCUGGCCUGAUUGUUAUUCUGGAACACUGAGGUCAUUCAGAAGCCCCCUGCAGCUCUGUUAGCCCAAGUGGGCCGGCCAACCAUAUUCUGUCUGGCCCCCAGGCCAGGCCAUGGAUUUAUUUUGGAUCAGAAAUGCUGGUCUCAGAAGACUCCAGGGAGACUCGGAGUACAGGGAUUUGCUGGGUGCCAGGGCAGGUGGCAUUCCAAGCUGGUGGGACCCAGUCGGACUGGAAUAGCAACAAAAGAUAAAAAUCCUUGGAAACUAAGGGAGGAAGCAGAAAAUUGGUCUUUAUUUGCUGAUCUGUCUAUUCUUGGGAAAUGGAAACACAGAGGCUGCACCUUUGGAAGUGUGACUGGAAGACUUAACUGGGAAUUCAUAAGUUACAUAUUUAGUUCCACUCACUGAACUCAGCAUAUGAUCAAUGACAUUGAUUUUGUGGUGCUGGGGAUUGAACCCAGAGCUUUAUGCAUGCUAAACAAGUAGUCUAUGACUAAGGUAUAUCCCUGGGCUCUAUAUGCAUCCAUUAUUAGUCAAUAAAUAAACAAUAACAAUAUUAGCAGUCAAUGAAUUUGUCACCACCAGUAUGAACUAUUAAUAUUUUUAUGUCAUCUCACAGUGUUGCAGAUACUACAAAAUUUAAUCUGUGUUCAUCACUACAG
ensembl:lncRNA